rnacentral:tRNA from 1 species
GCGCCCAUCGUCUAAUGUUGAAGACCGGAGGCCUCCUUGCGGGGGCCUUCGCAUGUAGGUUCGAAUCCUAUUGGGUGCU